AUUUUUCAUCAAGAAGUCGGAAAACCCGCAAGGAACAACUCUACGCAUGAUCUGUGAAGAAGUUUGGCCGAGACCUCAACCCGAAGGCGGAGAUCCGAGAGUCGUCCGAGAACGGUGAGCGAAAUUCCGACCUUCUUAACUCGUCCGGUAGUUAAUGGAAAAUUACGAAAAAAAAAAAUACGAGGACGUAGAGUGUAACACGAUCUAGAACGUUGCCAAAGGAAUCAUAUUGAUCCGAUCUACGGAUCGAAAGAUAUGAAAAUCGGAAAACAAAAACCGACUGGGUUUCGGUUUUCAGAGGACAGAGAAGAAGAAGAAGAA